rnacentral:misc_RNA from 1 species
GUGAAGAACGCAGCGAAAUGCGAUAAGUAAUGUGAAUUGCGGAAUUCCGUGAAUCAUCGAAUCUUUGAACGCACAUUGCGCCCUCUGGUAUUCCGGGGGGCAUGCCUGUCCGAGCGUCAUUUGCAACCCUCAAGCCCGGCUUGUGUGAUGGGUGCCGUCCCCUACGGGACGCGCCCCGAAGGCAAUGGCGGCGUCGCGGUUAUCCGAUCAGCCAAAGUGUAUGGGGCUUUGUCACUCACUUUACGGCCCGGACCGGCGCCAGUCCGAAUCAAUCUUUUUUCUAAAGUUGACCUCGGAUCAGGUAGGGAUACCCGCUGAACUUAAGCAUAUCAAUAAGCGGAGGA